rnacentral:rRNA from 1 species
UGAGGAAUAUUGGUCAAUGGACGCAAGUCUGAACCAGCCAAGUAGCGUGCAGGAUGACGGCCCUAUGGGUUGUAAACUGCUUUUAUAUGGGGAUAAAGUGGGGAACGUGUUCCCUUUUGCAGGUACCAUAUGAAUAAGGACCGGCUAAUUCCGUGCCAGCAGCCGCGGUAAUACGGAAGGUUCGGGCGUUAUCCGGAUUUCUUGGGUUUAUAGGGAGCGUAGGCCGUUUGGUAAGCGUGUUGUGAAAUGUAGGAGCUCAACUUCUAGAUUGCAGCGCGAACUGUCAGACUUGAGUGCGCACAACGUAGGCGGAAUUCAUGGUGUAGCGGUGAAAUGCAUGGAUAUCAUGAAGAACUCCGAUUGCGAAGGCAGCUUACGGAAGCGCAACUGACGCUGAAGCUCGAAGGUGCGGGUAUCGAACAGG